rnacentral:rRNA from 1 species
CGCAUCUGUGCAUGCAGCAUAUCAAUAAGCGGAGGAAAAGAAACUAACAAGGAUUCCCUCAGUAACGGCGAGUGAAGCGGGAAGAGCUCAAAUUUGAAAUCUUGCAAGGUUUCACCUUUCACGAAUUGUAGUUUAAAGAAGUGUUUUCUGUACUGAAUUUGGUAAAUAAGUUCUUUGGAAUAGGACAUCAUAGAGGGUGAGAAUCCCGUCUAUUGAUGCCGAUUAUUGUCAGCUUUGUGAUACACUUUCAAAGAGUCGGGUUGUUUGGGAAUGCAGCCCAAAACGGGAGGUAAAUUUCUUCUAAGGCUAAAUAUUGGCGAGAGACCGAUAGCGAACAAGUACCGUGAGGGAAAGAUGAAAAGAACUUUGAAAAGAGAGUUAAAUAGUACGUGAAAUUGUCAAAAGGGAAGCGUUUAACACCAGUGUUGUUUUCUGAAAAUCAACCUCUGUUAGCUUUAUGCAUGUUUGUUUAGACCUAAUCAGCUAUCUUGCAUGUUCUAUUGUUUGCAGUGGUGCACUUUUCAGUUUACAGGUCAACAUCAGUUUUUUUUACCGUAAAAAAGUUAAAGAAAGGUAGCUCAUGGCUCCGGUCGUGAGUGUUAUAGUCUUUUUCCUAUGCGGUAGGAGAGACUGAGGUCUGCAGUGUAGGCUAUUUGGCUAGAUACUCAGGUGCUAUGUGAUACCAUUUCAUAAACAACUUGUUGAUUAUGUUUUGUCUAUUGCAUACUCGCUUGUACUAUCAUACCUACGCUUAGGAUGUUGACGAUCAGCUGAGCGCG